rnacentral:rRNA from 1 species
AUGAACAUCAACACCCCACCUACCCAAUUAGUGUCGGCUGUCGUGCUGGAUGAUAGCGGAUGGGGUGAGGAAGAGGCUCCAUUAGUCGCUGGUGACGUCGCCAUAGAUGAGGAUGAGGAUUACGAUGACACUCAACAAUAUUUCAAUACUGGCGCCUACUUAGGGUUUGAGUGUCAUGAGUCGGUGCUUGAAUUGCCGCCUCGGGAGUCUGAACGUAUUAUGGACGACCUUCCGGUAGCAAAGAAGCCUAGGAAGAGAUCGAGGAAAGGCAACAAAGCUGCUUCUAUGAUCCAGCAACCUUGGGUUCAAGACCGUAUAGAUAUCCUCGGUGCGGCAAAAUGGCAUAUCCCUGGUGAACCAAUCCUACCUAAAGCAGCUCUAGGGGCCAGAUUCGGCAAUCUAAGGAGACUUUAUGACGAUGUGUUGCAGAUAGAAAAGGCCUCAUCGCCUCGAAAAAUCCAGGAUACCCACUCUACGUGGUUAACAUGCCGCGGCAAUUGUCGUACAUUAACACAUUCCCGCGGAGAAGUUCUUCCUUCGAUUCUAUUAUUUCGACAUGUUUCACUUGAAGAAGUUGUAUUUUACCUUUGUCCGCCUUUAUGCCUUGCACAUGAACUACCUCAUCGGGGUUGA